rnacentral:rRNA from 1 species
CAGUCGCCACGGUAAUACGAAGGGGGCUAGCGUUGCUCGGAAUGACUGGGCGUAAAGGGCGCGUAGGCGGAUUGUUUAGUUAGGCGUGAAAUUCCUGGGCUUAACCUGGGGGCUGCGCUUAAUACAGGCAGUCUAGAGUGAGGAAGAGGGUUGUGGAAUUCCCAGUGUAGAGGUGAAAUUCGUAGAUAUUGGGAAGAACACCGGUGGCGAAGGCGGCAACCUGGUCCUUGACUGACGCUGAGGCGCGAAAGCGUGGGGAGCAAACAGGAUUAGAUACCCCAGUAGUCCCUGUCUCUUAUAC